UAGGGAAUCUUCGGCAAUGGACGAAAGUCUGACCGAGCAACGCCGCGUGAGUGAAGAAGGUUUUCGGAUCGUAAAACUCUGUUGUUAGAGAAGAACAAGGACGUUAGUAACUGAACGUCCCCUGACGGUAUCUAACCAGAAAGCCACGGCUAACUACGUGCCAGCCGCCGCGGUAAUACGUAGGUGGCAAGCGUUGUCCGGAUUUAUUGGGCGUAAAGCGAGCGCAGGCGGUUUCUUAAGUCUGAUGUGAAAGCCCCCGGCUCAACCGGGGAGGGUCAUUGGAAACUGGGAGACUUGACUGCAGAAGAGGAGAGUGGAAUUCCAUGUGUAGCGGUGAAAUGCGUAGAUAUAUGGAGGAACACCAGUGGCGAAGGCGGCUCUCUGGUCUGUAACUGACGCUGAGGCUCGAAAGCGUGGGGAGCAAACAGG
rnacentral:rRNA from 1 species